rnacentral:rRNA from 1 species
UACGAAGGGGGCUAGCGUUGCUCGGAAUUACUGGGCGUAAAGCGCACGUAGGCGGCUUUCUAAGUCGGGGGUGAAAUCCUGGAGCUCAGCUCCAGAACUGCCUUCGAUACUGGAGAGCUCGAGUCCGGGAGAGGUGAGUGGAACUGCGAGUGUAGAGGUGAAAUUCGUAGAUAUUCGCAAGAACACCAGUGGCGAAGGCGGCUCACUGGCCCGGUACUGACGCUGAGGUGCGAAAGCGUGGGGAGCAAACAGG